AGGAGAGGGGCCGACUUUAUGGCUGAUGUUCUGGAGGAGAAAGAGCUACGUUUUUAAUAUGUACAAGGCACAUAUUAAGGGCGCAUUUGAACACAUUUUAAAUGCUUCCAACUGUUGAGUAAGGGAAGGGGCUGAGACCUCAGGAUCAGGAGGCGAAGAAGGAGAGGGAGUUAAAGUGCAGAGGGCUGUGGGGGAAGAUUCAGCAGUACCGCCCGUCACAGACUUAGGACCAAGGUCUUUCCAGCUCAUUUUCUAUUUCUAAUCCAAUGCCAGGCAGUUGAGUAUUGUUGUCCUCAACCUAGCAAUUUGGAGACAGCAGUGAGUAUGUAUAUAACAGAACAGGAUGCUCUCUGGACAAAAGUUCUGAAAGAAAACCAAAACGGAAGACUGUCCCCACGCCCCCGCUGGACUGUCUCUAAUGACUCUCGGGAAAUGUUCCGGACAUGCACAGGCAUCUGCAAAUUUACCCACCUGAAAGAGUUGCCUCCAUCUCCUGAUCCCUAGAUUCAGAAAUGGAAAAUGCAAAGACCCUCCCUGUGUUUUCUGCAGGUGCGUGUGCAUUGUUUUUAAAUCACUGAUUCACAAUCCCCUUCUUUGCUCCCCACCUCAUUUUCAGUUAGAGGAAAAAGAAGGUGAAGAAAAAAGCAAAGCACACAUGGUUUCCAGAAGACUUCAUCUGACACUCCUGGAAGGCUAGAAUUACAAACAGGGUGGGACUCCAGAUUUCUGCAACAACCUUUAGGAGGCCAAGCUUACUGUUCUUUAAAAUCAGAGAUUCUUCUCCCACUUCAAAAUUAUUCCAGAAAGCCAUACAGAUGAGAAGCCCACAGGACACUUCCUGCUUGCCCUCUCUUUUCCUGUGACCCCGAAAUGUCAACUGGCAAGGCUCAACAUUCCUGUCUGGAGCUGAGCAGCUGGAACAGCUUAUGAAGAAGGACCAGUGGUCUACUUCUGAAAAGAAUUAGCCAGUGAAAACCUUACAAAUAGCAGUGGAACACUGUCUGAUAUAGUGCCGGAAGAUGAACCACUCAGGUUGGAAGGCACUCAAAAUAUGACUGGGGAAGUGCUGCCUCCUCAAAGUAGAAUCCAUCUUAAUGGUGUGGAUGAAGUCAAGCUUUCGGAACCUUCAUUUGCUGAUGUGGCAUGAGUCAUAAUGAGAAGAAACAACUGCAAACAUCCAUUAAUAAUCGGAACCUGGAAUGUACAAAGUAUGAAUCUAGAAAAAUUGGAAAUUGCAAAAAUGAAAUUGAACAUAUAAAGAUCUAUACCCUAGGCAUUAGUGAGGUGAAAUGUACUGGUAUUGGUCAUUCUGAAUCAGACAAUCAUAUGGUCUACUAUGCCAGGAAUGACAACUUGAAGGGGAAUGGUGUUGCAUUCAUUGUCAAAAAGAACAUUUCGAGAUCUAUCCUGAAGUACAAUGCUGUCAGUGAUAGGAUAAUAUCCAUACUCCUAUAAGGAAGACCAGUUAACACGAGUGUUAUUCAAAAUUAUGCACCAAUUACUGAGGCCAAAGAUGAAGAAACUGAAGAUUUUUACCGACUUCUGCAGUCUGAAAUUGAUCGAACACGCAAUCAGGAUGCACUGAUAAUUACUGGUGACUGGAAUUCAAAAGUCAGAAACAAAGAAGAAGGAUCAGUAGUUGGAAAAUAUGGCCUUGGUGAUAGAAUUUUGCAAGACCAAUGACUUCUUCAUUGCAAAUACCUUUUUUCACCAACAUACACAAUGACUAUACACAUGGGCCCUGCCAGAUAGAAUACUCAGGAAUCAAAUCGACUAUAUCUGUGGAAACAGACGAUGAAAAAGCUCAAUAUCAUCAGUCAGAACAAGGCCAGGGGCCAACUGCAGAUCAGACCAUCAAUUAUUCAUAUGCAAGUUCAAGCUGAAACUGAAGAAAAUUAGAACAAGUCCAUGAGAGCCAAAGUACGACCUUGAGUAUAUCUCACCUGAUUUUAGAGACCAUCUCAAGAAUAGAUUUGAUGCGUUAACACUAACGAUCGAAGACCAGACAAGUUGUGGAAUGACACCAAGGACAUGAUAACGUGAAGAAAGCAAGAGGUCAUUAAAAAGACAGGAGAGGAAGAAAAGAUCAAAAGGGAUGUCAGAAGAGACUCUGAAACUUGCUCUUGAACGUCAAGUAGCUAAAGCAAAAGGAAAAAAGGAUGAAGUAAAAGAGCUGAACAGAAGAUUUCAAAGGGUGGCUUGAGAAGACAAAAUAAAGUAUUAUGAUGAUAUAUGCAAAGACCUGGAGAUAGAAAACCAAAAGGGAAGAACAUGCUCGGCAUUUCUCAAGCUGAAAAAACUGAAGAAAAAAACUCAAGCCUCGAGUUGCAAUACUGAAGGAUUCUACAGGAAAAAUAUUAAAUAACGUAAGAAGCAUCAAAAGAAGAUGGAAGGAACACACAGAGUCACUAUACCAAAAAGAAUUGGUCAAUGUUUGACCAUUUCAGGAGGUAACAUAUGAUCAGGAACUGAUGGUACUGAAGGAAGAAAUCCAAGCUGCACUGAAAGCACUGGUGAAAAACAAGCCUCCAGGAAUUGACGGAGUACCAACUGAGAUGUUUCAACAAGUGGAUGCAGUGCUGGAAGUGCUUACUUAUCUAUGCCAAGAAAUUUGGAAGAACCUUAUCUGACCAACUGACUGGAAGACAUCCAUAUUUAUGCCUAUUCCCGAGAAAGGUGAUCCAACCGCAUGCAGAAAUUAUCAAACAGUAUCAUCAAUAUCACAUGCAAGCAAAAUUUUGCUGAAGAUGAUUCAAAAGCAGCUGCAGCAGUAUAUUGACAGGGAGCUGCCAGAAAUUCAAGCCAGAUUUAAAAGCCUAGUACCCAGUGCCGUCGAGUCGAUUCCGACUCAUAGCGAGAUUUAAAAGAGGACUCGGAAAUAGGGAUAUCAUUGCUGAUGUCAAAUGGAUCCUGGCUGAAAGCAGAGAAUACCAGAAAGAUGUUUACCUGUGUUUUAUUAACUAUGGUAAGGCAUUUGUGUGGAUCAUAACAAAUUACGGAUAACGGGAAUUCCAGAACACUUAAUUGUGCUCCUGAGGAAUCUGUACACGGAUCAAGAAGCAGUCAUUCGAACAGAACAAGGGGGUACUGCAUGGUUUAAAGUCAGAAAAGGUGUGUGUCAGGGCUGUACCCUUUCACUCCCUAUACCUAUUCAAUCUGUAUGCUGAGCAAAUAAUCUGAGAAUCUGGACUAUGUGAAGAAGAACAGGGCAUCAGGAGUGGAGGAAGACUUAUUAACAACCUACAUUAUGCAGAUGACACAACCUUGCUUGCUGAAAGUGAAGAGGACUUGAAGCACUUACUGAGGAAGAUCAAAGAUCAUAGCCUUCAUUAUGGAUUACACCUCAACAUAAAGAAAACGAAAAUCCUCACGACUGGACCAGUGAGCGACAUCAUGAUACACAGAGAAGAGGUUGAGGUUGUCAAGGAUUUCAUUUUACUUGGAUCCACAAUCAUGGAAGCAGCAGUGAAGAAAUCAAAAGACGCAUUGCAUUGGGCAAAUCUGCUGCAAAGGACCUCUUUAAAGUGUUGAAAAGCAAAGAUGUCACUUUGAGAACUAAGGUGUGCCUUACCCUAGCUAUGGUGUUUUCAAUCCAAUCUUAUCAUAUGCAUGCGAAAGCUGGACAAUGAAUAAGGAAGACCAAAGAAGAACUGACGCCUUUGAAUUGUGGUGUUGGCAAAGAAUACGGAAUAUACCAUGGACUGCCAAAAGAAUGAACAAACCUGUCUUGGAGGAAGUACAACCAGAAUGCUCCUUGGAAGCAAGGAUGGUGAAACUACAUCUCAUAUACUUUGGAAAUGUCAUCGGGAGGGGUCAGUCCCUGGAGAAGGACAUCGUGCUUGGUAAAGUAGAGGGUCAACAAAAAAGAGGAAGACCCUCAAGAAGAUGGACUGACACAGUGGCUGCAACGGCGGGCUCAAGCAUAGCAACAAUUGUGAGGCUAACGCAGGACCGGGCACUGUUCUGUUCUGUUGUGCACAGGGUCGCUGUGAGUCAGAACCGACUUGACAGCGCCUAACAACAACCCCUUACACUUCCUCUGAAAGACCUACCUUCUCACACAGAUGGGGUUGUUCUGGGGACAUAAACUGCUCCAUUCUGAGGGGACAAGUAGUCCUUCUGUGGAAGACUAUUGUCCUUUUCAAGCACUCAGUGCACUGGAAAGUAAUUGCACUGAGUUGCUCCUUGUGCCUGGCUUUCCCACUCCUCAGGUUGGUGAGGCCUAUGCCUGAUUUGCAGGUGGGUUCCAAUUGAAGAGGCUUGGACAAAGGCAAACUUUUGUCCUUUCCCACCAGGGUGGAGGAAUGGGGAAGAGGCAUGAGGAUAAGAGGAACAUGCCCCAAGCCAGGAUGUUUCUUAUGGAAGUUGGCAAAGAAUGCCGGAUCACUCGCUUUGAUUAGACCCCCUUUGCUAAAGAAACAGGGUCUAGGGGAAAGUGUCUUUUCUAAUAUUGCCCUAAAAAAGCAAAACCAAACCCAUUUCCGUUGCCAAUUCUGACUCACAGUGACCCUAUAGGACAGAGUAGAACUGCCCCAUAGAGUUUCCAAGGAGCAGCUGGUGGAUUCAAACUGCUGACAUUUUGGUUAGCACCAGAACGCUUAACCACUAGUGCCACCAGGGCUUCCUAGGGCAAGGUUAUUUCCUAGUGUGACGGAGAAAACACCUGUAGUCUUUGAGGACAAUGGGGCUUUAGGGUAGAAUUUAGCUUAACACCUCCAUAGUCACCUUUAACGUGGUCCUGGCAUAGGCUUCCUUGGUGAAAAGCACACAGCUUUGCAGUCAGACAGGAGUCCCUGGGUGCUGCGAAGAGUUGCUUACUGAAAGGUCGGAGGUUUGAGUCCACUCAGGGGUGCCUCAAAAGACAGGUCUGGCAACUACUUCUGAAAUAUCAGCCACUGAAAACUCUAUGGAGCACAGUUCUACUUUAACACACAUGGGGUCACCUCAAAAGCAACUCAUUUUUUGGGAGUUGGCUCAGGAUUUCAAUCCCAGUUGAGACACUUACUAGCUGUGACCUCGAGCAAAUAAACAUUUCUGAACUUCCAAUUUUCUCAUCUGUAAAUGCGAGUUAAUAAUACUUUUUCACAGUGUUAAACCCAAAAACCCUCUGCCGUUGAGUCGAUUCUACAGUGUUGCCCUAAAAAAAUCAGGAAAAUAAAAAAGUAGAAUGCCUGCUUGAUACAAAGUGCUCAGAAAGCGGUAGCUAUUAUUAUUAAUAAAAUAAGGGAAACCUAGGGGAAACUCAGCAGGAAACCAAGGACUCUUCACGAAAAAGGAACCGAAAUAGCCGGGAGUGGGCUCCACCCACCCCUGUCAGCUCCUCCAUUUGCUGGAGGAGGAGAAGCAGGAAGGGGACCCUCUGCCCUCCUCCCACCCCAAGCUAAGCUUGUAGUCAGGAGGGUUGUCUACACAGAGCAGAAAGCUGGGGUGAGCUGAGGGUGGGGAGGGGGUUGUUUUGCUUUAGACAAGGGUGAGGGCUGCCCUCGGCCUCCUAUGGGGGAAGGAAGAGAUAGAUAAAGCUACGUAACAAAAAGCUCAAGGCCAAACCCACAGCAGGCCCCAGAGACGGAUGGGGGGAAGUGUGUCCUUAGGCCGCUUUCCCCCCUUCUCUGUUUGCUCUGCCUGAAUCAGCUGACCUUGUUUUCGCAGGCCUCAUGGCUCUCGGGCCAUCCGGGCUCUCCUGCCCCCACCCCAGGACACCAGUCUGCGCCCGCCGGCUGGUCCAAGGCCGGCGGGUCCUCGCCUCCCUGCGCACACCGGCCCGUCCUCCUCUCCAGCCAAUCAGCUGCAGCCUGGGCGCGCGGCCUCUUCCGUCCUGCGCUCCCGUUCUUUUCCUGGGCCGGUUUGGGCAGAGGGGAGGCCAGCUCUGCCCAGUAAGCCUUCAGAGGACACAGUCUCCUCUUUAUGAAAAGAACAUUCACAUUUCCACGAAGGCCUUUGCCAGCGAAUGCACUACUUAAGGGCAGGCAGGCUGCCCAAGGCUUACCACAGCCGCACUGUGCUGGGUUGUCCCCCUGGAGUUCUCAGAGCAUCCAUCAAGGUCUGCUUAGGGCUCCGGGAAAACAGCAGACCUUUUCUUCCCUUCAAAACCACCCCACCUGUGACCCUAGCUGAUCUCUCCCUUCCAGCUAGCACACGGACUGCUGUUUGGAGAUUCCAUAUGAUUGCAGUCAUCCCUGUCCAGGUUUGGGAGGGAAGGGAGAAAUACUCUGGAGAAAUACUCUGAAGAAAUACUCUGAGUUUCCUAUGUCCCAGCCCUCCGGCCUAAAUCCAUCCAACUACUGCCUAGUUCACAAACUAGAGAAAGGAAGAAGAAAACACGUGAUUCAGCCCCCUACUGUGUACCUGGAACUUUACAUAUCCUCUCACUUAAUCCACACAAAAAUUCUAUAAGGUAUCAUAGUUCUCAGCCUGGAGAUGAGGAAACCAAGGCUCUGAGAGAUGAAGAAUCUUACGGUUACUGAGAGUCUGGAUGGCAAUGAAGCCAAGGUUUUUUCUAAGUGACUCAGCAUUAUACCAGGAUGCAAGUAGUGCCCAUUCCCAGAACCUCAUGGAUUCCCUUGUUUCCUGCACACAGCAAAUGCAGUAGAUGCUCCCUAUCUUUAACUCAGAGGCCUUUCCAGGAGAGUUGGUAGGAGAGAGGGGCAGUCUUUAGAUGCUUCCUGCACGAAAAAGUUCUCCAUCGCUGGCAGCUUUUGAGCUGCCUUUCCACAGCUACUCGCCAUCAUCCUUCUCCCACAUCUUUUCAGUUAAGUGGCUGCUUAAGUGGAGGCUACUUUGCCACUUUGGAAAGAAUCUGGAGUUACCAAUUAAUUUUUCAGGUGUUAGAUUCAUCUGUUGCUGCUGAGUCAAUUCCAACUCACAGUGACCCUAUAGGACAGAAUAGAACUGCCCCAUAGGGUUUCCAAAGCUAUAAUCUUUACAGAAGUAGAUUGCCACAUCUUUCUCCCUUGGAGCAGCUGGUGGGCUGGAAAUAAUGACCUUUUGGUUAGCAGCUGAGUGCUUAACCACUGUGCCACCAGGGCUCCUUUUGGUGUUAGUUUAGACAGCAUUUUCUUUAGGAAGUAGUCUUUGACCCCCACAAGCCUGGGUCAGCUGCCUCUAGCAGCACCUCUACUUCCCCUUUCAGCAGUUCUUAUCACACCACCUAUUGCAAUUAUUUAUUUCCUUAUCUGUCUGUGUAGACAGAAGGAAGCUACCUGAGUGCAAGAACCAUGUCAUGACUAUAACCUCAGCAUUGAGCUGAAAUGCCACGGCUCAGCUCUCAGGAUGCCUGUGUUUCCCCAGGAACACCAUUUUAAAACUACUGAACUAGAGUCUGGAAGUUAAAAGUAGGGUAAGAGGGAAGUUGGAGAUGACUAUAAAAACAUGACCUUUAAAUAUAAUGACAAUAACAACAAUCAUAACUAUGAUUUAUUGAGUGCCUGUUAUGUUCCAAUUCUUUUUGGUGUAGUGACUCUGUAUUUCUUCCAUCUUCUUUUGGUGCUUCCUGUGUCAUUUAAUAUUUUCCCCGUAGAAUCCUUCAGUAUUGCAACUUGAGGCUUGAAUUUUUUCUUCAGUUCUUUCAGCUUGAGAAAUGCUGAAUGUGUUCUUCCCUUCUGGUUUUCUAUCUCCAGGUCUUCGCACAUGUCAUCAUAAUACUUUACUUUGUCUUCUUGAGCUGCCCUUUGAAAUCUUCUGCUCAGCUCUUUUACUUCACUUUUUCCUUUUGCUUUAGCUACUUGACGUUCAAGAGCAAGUUUCAUGUUUGGUAAAGUAGAGGGUCAACGAAAAAGAGGAAGACACUCAACAAGAUGGGUCAAAUUAGUGGCUGCAAAAAUGGGUUCAUGCAUAGCAACAAUUGUGAGGAUGGCACAGGACCGGGCACUGUUUCACUCUGUUGUACAUAGGGUCACUCUGUUGUGCAUAGGGUCGCUAUGAGUCGGAACUGACUCUAGGGCACCUAACAAGAGCAAUGGUAUGUUCCGGGCACUGUUCUAAGAGCUUUAGUGAAACACUUCUUAAAUUUUUACUUGUAUUUGAAUCAUCUUGUUAAAAUACAGAUUCUAGUUCAGUAGAUCUGGGGUGGGGCCUGAGAUUCUGAAUUUCUAACAAGCUCUCAGGCGAUGCUGAUGCUGCUGGUCCAUGGACCAUAUUUUGUGUAGCAAGUCUUUGGUGUAUUAACUUAUUUCAUCCUCUCAAUAGUCUUAUGAAGUAGUUGCCACUAUUAUUCCCAUUUAACCUGUACUCAAAGGUUAAGUAUAUAUGAACUUAAGUCAAAAUAAAUGACUAGGGGAAUGAGGAAGCAGAGAAUGGUGUGGCCAGGGUACAGUUGUGGAAGAAACAGAAACAAAGCCGUAGGCAGAGGAAACAGUAUUUAUGAUAGUCAGCAUGAAUGGGAGGUGGACAGGAGCUACAAGGCUGUUUUAUCCACUAGGCAUUAUGUGCACAGCACUUAGGGCUAGGAGCUUCCCAAAGGUCCCAAAUAUUUGAGACCUGAAAAUAAGUUAUUGAUACCUACAUAUGAAAACUGAACAUUUAAAUUAAUAAUUCAAAAAUUCAGAUAAUUAAAAAUACUUUCAAAAAUUUUACAUGAAAAAAAAUCUAUGUUUAAUGAGUGACAUGGGUAUAUUUUAACACAUUUGAUAAUAAAUGGGUAGACCAGACCAGACCCUUGCUGUUGAGUCGAUUCUAACUCAUAAAUGGGAAAGGACCUCUCCAAGUAACAGUGCCUAAGGACAGGACAGGCUCUGGCCACACUGGGUCUGGACGUAAUCCUGAGGGCAGCUGGGAACCACCGCCAUAAGCAGGAAAACAUUCUGUGUGGCUACAGUGCAGAGAAUGGGUUGGAGGGAGGCCAAACUGGAGGCCUGGAGGCCAGAGACCAGAUAGGUAGUUUCAGUCUUCCAGGACUUGGAGACAGUCUCUCCUCAGUUCCAGGAUUAGCGUAAAAGGAUAGCAUUUUACAACCCAAUUAUUCUUUGAUUCCUCUGGCCCCAAUCUGACUCAGCAUUCUAAAUUUACUUAAGAUUUGGGGACAAGGCUUUUUGCCAAAUCCUUUCUUAUUAAGGCCAAUGACGCUACACCAUAGGGGACGUAUUAAGAGCUCAAAUUUUGAGUGAGACAGACAUGGACGUGAGGCCCAGCUCUUGCUAACUUUUUAAUUUUGACAAGUGAUUUAACUUCUUAGCCUUGAUUCCUUAUUGGCAAAAUGGGCAUAAUACAUUCCUCACAGGGUUGUUUGAGAAUUAAGUGAGGUGAACUAUACAUACAGUACCUUCCACAGAAUGUUAUUGUUGCCCCUUGACUUAUGAGGACCCCCUGCACAAUGAAACAAAACGCUGCUUGGUCCCACACCAUCCCUGUGAUAAGUUGCAGAUCGGACUGUUGUGAUCCAUAGGGUUUUCACUGGCUUAUUUUUGGAAGUAGAUCACCAGAUCUUUCUUUUUAGUCUGUCUUAGUCUGGAAGUUCCACCGAAACCUGUUCAGCAUCAUGGCAACACACAAACCACCAAUGACAGACAAUGGCUGGGCAUGAGGUGAAUUGGCCAGGAAUUGAACCAGGUCUCCUGUAUGGAAGGUGAGAUUUUGAUCACUGAACCACCAAUGCCUCAUACUUAUAAAUGGUAGCUGAUAUCAUAUAUGUGCCAUUCUUCUGAGGCCUAGUUGAGCUUUCUUUGGGAAGGAAUAGAGGGUAGGGUAAAUAAUCUCUUCAUUUAUCUCCUGAGGUAGAAAUUAUUAUCCCCCUUUUGCAGACAAGAAAACUGGGUUCAGAGAUUAGAUAGGUCAGGGAACUAGGAACAGAAAGUGGGAAAUCUGCAAGAGCUGAAAUUUUAUUUUUAUUUCGCCUGUGCACUCUCUCCUGCAGUCAACAUCUGAUGCUGCCUCCACUCUCUGAUGGGUCCAAAACCUACUCCCUUAGUCAUGGCAUGAGUCAAUCAUCGUGACAGAUGGCAUGCCCUGAAUACACUCCUCCUGGCUCCACUACUCCAUUUCCCUUCUUCCUCACCCAACCUCCCUACCACCUUGCUCCCAAAUUUUACAGCUUGUGGAUUUCCUUUAUUUAGGCACUGGUCUCUUUGAGAGUCAAAGAGAACUGCCCUGGACUGGAUGCCUUCCAGGGUACCUCCCUUUAGAAGGAGUAGAUAAACAGGUCACUUCAGUAUGGUGAGGGAGGAAGCUGACUUCUUAUGGGAGGAGGGAAAAUACUGCAGAUCACAUGGAGGAUGGAAAUCAAAGUAACAGGGCUCCUCUCAUAUUCUCUCAAUCUCACAGUGACAGCCCCCUGCCGGCCACUAUUACCAUGAGAAGUAUUUUGGAGAUAGCACAGGCAGUUCUAAGCUCUUGGGGUUCUGGGACACUAGUGGAAACUGUAUUGUGUGAAAAACAUUUCUAUCCUUUGUUCCUCUUCACCUCACCCAGCCUCCUCUUCAAACUGACCCCACAACCUCCAGGAUACAUUUUUCUCCUAUAUGGAAAAAUCUCAGCUUUUACAGAAGAUUUGGAGCUCCUGCCCUGGUGACUCUUUCAUGUGGCCUGAAAGCUCAGAGCUCUGUAGCUGGAAGGCUCGGCAGGGCUAGCAAGACACUGGCUGUGAUUGCCUGGAGCAGCCAGGAUUCAGUUUACAGACAUUCUGUUGUGGCAACCAGAACAAGUCCUGGGCUUUGCAAGAUUUCUGUUCCCCACCUCCACCCCUCUGUUGAAUGCAGCUCACAACUAGGGGUGUGGAUGAGUAUUAAAUUUCGUAGAUUGCUGUGAAAACCUGAGGGAGACACACAGACAGAUGAAGACACAGAGACAGAGAGAGAAACGGGGUGCGGCAUUAAAGGUCCGGCCCCACCCUGACCCACAACCCCUGGGCAGUCACAUUUCUAGGAAACUGCAGCUGAAGGGAAAAGUCCUGGCCGUGUGAGUGAGACCAGCCUGGCAGUGUACAGAUUAGAACUGAAAAUGUGUACCCCAGCAGACGAUUGGCCCCUGGACUCCUUUCCCAGGGCACAAGGCAAACACACAAAAAUGAAAUGACCAAAAGCUUGACCCUCGCACCUUGAGGUAAACAAACCCAGUUCCCUGGAUGGGGUUUACGGAAACAGGGAGUUCACCUUGGAGAGGCCGAGGGGUUUUCCAUUCUCUUGGUGUGGAGCCUGGUGACCUUCCAGCUCAGAGGCUCACCAUUUCGGGAAAGUGGUUGCUCUUUCUCAGAGGCUUAGAGGUGAUGCUCCAGACUGCAGGAUGCCACUUGUUUCCACCUGGCUGAUGUUUCAGCACUGCCCUCUGCCCUCCCUAUCUAUCCCCAAGUUUGCUCCAGGGCCCUGAGCAGACUCUCCAGGGAUACCUGGCCCCUUUACUCUUUUUCCAUCGCCCCUGUAGAAAGCAGGUACUCACUGCAGGCCUCAGCGCCCUGUGGGAAAGUCCUAUUCUUGGCUGCAGGUGCCCUCCUGCCUCCAUGAGGGACAGCGCUAGGUUACAGGAUAUAUCCAUCUUUACCCGGCCCAUUCAUUAAGCCUAAUCUCCCUGGUGGGGUAGGCCUGUCAAACAUACCUCUUUCCCAGGCUGGAGCAAUCCCAAACCAUCUCUCAUGACUGUGUGUGUAAUCCCCAAAAGUAUGUAGAAGGCAAGUAGUAGCAGUGACAGUGUGCUGAUGCCCUGUAUUGAAACAAGAAGUUCGGACUUGUGAGGAUGAGAUCCUUUGUGCUCUCAAAAAGUGACUGGCAGCUCCCCUUCUCUGGCUUCUGCUCCAGCCUGGAUCCCUUGCUUUGCCAACAUCCCUGCUUCAUUCUUGGUGGGCUGCCUUACUCCAGGUCUAGUACGAAUGUUAUCCUUGGCUUGUCUAGGACUACCUGAGAAAAAGCAGCCAGUCUUGGAGCCUCCGUAUACCUGACCCAACCGUUCAAUCAGGUACAUGUAUCUAAGCAGUGGUUCUGACACUUGAGCUUGCACUGGAAUCACCUGGAAGCU